ACUCCUACGGGAGGCAGCAGUGGGGAAUAUUGCACAAUGGGCGCAAGCCUGAUGCAGCCAUGCCGCGUGUAUGAAGAAGGCCUUCGGGUUGUAAAGUACUUUUCAGCAGUGAGGAAGGUGGGUAUGUUAAUAGCAUAUUCAUUUGACGUUAGCUGCAGAAGAAGCACCGGCUAACUCCGUGCCAGCAGCCGCGGUAAUACGGAGGGUGCGAGCGUUAAUCGGAAUUACUGGGCGUAAAGCGCAUGCAGGUGGUUUGUUAAGUCAGAUGUGAAAGCCCGGGGCUCAACCUCGGAAUUGCAUUUGAAACUGGCAAACUGAGUACUGUAGAGGGGGGUAGAAUUUCAGGUGUAGCGGUGAAAUGCGUAGAGAUCUGAAGGAAUACCGGUGGCGAAGGCGGCCCCCUGGACAGAUACUGACACUCAGAUGCGAAAGCGUGGGGAGCAAACAGGAUUAGAUACCCUGGUAGCUCUGC
rnacentral:rRNA from 1 species